rnacentral:sRNA from 1 species
GCCAGGCGCAGUGGCGCACACCUGUAAUCCCAGCGUUUGGGGAGGCUGAGACAGGAGGAUUGAGAGUUCAAAGUCAGCCUCAGCCACUUAGAGAGGCUCUAAGCAGUUUAGUGAGACCCUGUCUCUA